rnacentral:lncRNA from 11 species
UGCUCAUGCCUUCUGGGACUGGCGGAGUGAAAUGGGGCGAAUCACCACAGGAGGAGUCAAAGUUUUCUAAAUAAUAUGAAAUCCUGCUAACCUGUUUGACUGGAAACAACAGUGGGGUGAAUAUACAAGCAGUACGGCUUCUUUCC